CCCUGAGCCCUUCACACACUGAGAGGAUAUUUCAGAUCUUAGAGUCAGCAGAGGAGCAUGAGUAGGCAUCUAGGUCCACCCUUCCUCUCUUCAGUGAGGAUCUCUCAGCCCAGAUCCCUGGUCAAGGUCAUUCAUAAAGUCACAGGCAGAGUGAGGAGUCAAACCCAGAUGUCUUCCCAGUCAUCUUGGCUGUCCCAUCCUGUGGUGGUCUUUAGAAAGCCACUCGAUAUCAGCCUAUUUGGACUCAGACCAUAUAUUAAAAGGUGAAUUCAAUGCUUGCUUCCCUUGGGGAGGAUGACUCUUGAUCCAGCACGGCCGUCGCGUCUGACAGCAGUGAGGGGGCACUGCCUCCCUGCGUUCCCUCCGCAGACACCACAGAAAUGACCCAUUCGUGAGGCCACAUGGAACAUGAACGUUUUGGGGAAUGAGUCCAUAUUCAGAGUCAGAAAAAUUCCAGGGAAUCCAGACCCAUGAUUUUAUUAGAUUCCUGCUUAGAAGGAGAAUUAUCUCUGUAUGUAGAAUCUGAGCCCACGAGCGAUGCCCGAGACAGGAAGUACAGCUCUUCUGUGUCUGACUCCAACAAGAACGACCGGCUUUUCUCUCUUAUGAUGUAUCUAAUUCUAGAGGUAAAGCCGAAAUGCUGAAUUUUAUUUCUGUGAUUUUUCCUUCAGGCCCAGUCCCUCCAUGGGGUAGCGUCUUACGCCAUGGAUCUCAUUUCACCUAACCAGCUGUCCGAAGUCGCCUGUCUCCUGUCCCUUUCAGAACCUCACUGACGGACCAACGAAACUGAUAAGAUGUGAUAAUUCUUGUGUUAGAGGACAAGAUUUGAUUUUUAAACACAGGCCUCCUGGAAGCAUAAUGUUUUAGCUCAAGAAUUACGUCUCUUCUGCCAGUGGAGAUUUCUGGCAUUAGAUCACGUUGGGAGGGAGGACGUUUAAUAUGCAGCUCUUGCAUUGGAAGCUCCUACGGCUAAGGAAAACCAUAAGGACCACAGGACAGCUGAGCAUACACAGAGCCCAAACACGGAGGAAUGGGAGACAUGAUUGACCCCGUGGGAGCCCUGCUCUGCUGUGGGCAUCACCUGGCACUGGACCAGGGCGCUCCAACAGGCUGGCAUGCGGUGGGGGACGUGAAAGUUGUAGCGGCUCAUCCAUGAUUCCGUGCCAAGCUGGAGUGAAGAAAACGCCCUUAACACAUCCCUGCGGAGUGAUCCAAACGCCGGAAUAAUGGUCCAUUUGUCGGGCCCCGCAAAACUUCUGUGUCAAGGAAGGGUUUGUCUUAGCUUCCUUUCGCCUGUUAAAGACGGUUCUAGAAAUUCUUGCCAUGUUAGUCCUAUGUUUUUUUUUUUUCCCCUUGACAGCGUGGACACCGACCUUCUACUCUGCACUUUGAAAUCUAUAUGGCUUUUCUAAGUAAAAUGUGAAAAAGUGCUUUGGGAUUGGAGUUGCUUGGAAUUACAGCCAUGGUAGGCUAAGCUCCUCCGAACCCUUUCUUUCUCUCAGGGUCUUUCUUUUCAUCAGAGUGAGAAAAACAGAUCUUUUUAUUUUCGAAAACAUGAGAGUGCAUGGCUAAGUGAUUCCUUCCCUACUUGUCUGGGGGCUACGUGGAGGUAGGAGAAGGAAUGCAAAACGAAGAGAGGAAAGGAAAGCCUAGGAGCCUGGGGGUGGUGGUGGUGGUUAUUUGCUUUCUCCUCCAUUCCCCAGCCUCACCCUCUGCUUUUGGGUGCCGUGCCCUAUGCUUUGGGAAAUGACCUCAGUGGACCCUGUCACUGGAGCUCUUGCCUGUUGCUGUCUGGCUGGUUUGGCUAAUAGGAGCCAUGGAGAGGUUGAGGGAGGGAGGCAGAGAGAGAGAGAGGUCUGGGCAUUUAUCUCCCCCUGCCCUUGCACGACUGGCCACAGUUCUGGAAAUUUCUCUGUCUGUGGUUGGCUCCAGGACGUGUAUCUCCUCCUUUUUCCCCUCAGGCUUAGGAGUAGUAGUUGCUCCCAUCCUUCUGUUGCUUCAUCAUGGCUCAUUAUUUCUUUCAGGGCUGCCUACCGCUUUGCAAAUAGUCUUCAUUGAAAUGUUCUCUCAGUUAAACCUUUGAAUAUGCCAAUGGUAUCCUCACUUCACCAUCCUCACAGCUCAGAGGACAUUUGCUUUCUCAUAUUGGCUAACUAAAGCAAUAGCAUGUAUUCUGGAAAACUCUGGCAUCCUCUCUUCUUCUGCUACUGUAUAGCGAGGAAGUAAUCAAGGUCACCAUUGUGCAUCUCUCAGUGGACUCUUGUACCUUUUUAAUCAUUCACGCAUGUGCCUUCUUGUGGUUUCCACCAGGUGCAUGCAGGCUAGGCUAGGAUGGAUGGGAAUGAGGUUCCCUGUGAGACAUAAUAACAGAUGUAACAAAACAAAAAUAAAAACAAAAACCACAGACGUGUAUGUAUGUAUCUGCAAGGGUAUGCUGGCCAGUGUUUUAAGACUAGCCCUCUUGGUGGGGGUGGCUGUUUUAUGGCAUUUGUCAUUUUCUGUGGUGUAACUAUUU